UACGGGGGGAGCAAGCGUUGUUCGGAUUUACUGGGCGUAAAGCGUGCGUAGGCGGUCCGCGAAGUCUGAUGUGAAAGCCCCGGGCUCAACCUGGGAACUGCAUUGGAAACUAACGGGCUCGAGUGUGGCAGAGGGGGGUGGAAUUCCACGUGUAGCAGUGAAAUGCGUAGAGAUGUGGAGGAACACCGAUGGCGAAGGCAGCCCCCUGGGCUAACACUGACGCUCAGGCACGAAAGCGUGGGGAGCAAACAGG
rnacentral:rRNA from 1 species